UACGGAAGGCAGCAGUGGGGAAUAUUGCACAAUGGGCGAAAGCCUGAUGCAGCUAUGCCGCGUGUAUGAAGAAGGCCUUAGGGUUGUAAAGUACUUUCAUCGGGGAGGAAAAACAAAACUAAUAAUUUUAUUUCUUGACGUUACCCGAAAAAGAAGCACCGGCUAACUCCGUGCCAGCAGCCGCGGUAAUACGGAGGGUGCUAGCGUUAAUCAGAAUUACUGGGCGUAAAGAGCACGUAGGUGGUUUUUUAAGUCAGAUGUGAAAUCCCUGGGCUUAACCUAGGAACUGCAUUUUGAAACUGAAAUACUAGAGUAUCGUAGAGGGAGGUAGAAAUUCUAGGUGUAGCGGUGAAAUGCGUAGAUAUCUGGAGGAAUACCUGUGGCGAAAGCGGCCUCCUAAACGAAUACUGACACUGAGGUGCGAAAGCGUGGGGAGCAAACAGGGAUUAGAUACC
rnacentral:rRNA from 1 species